UGAAACGUCUCAGAUCCUGGUCACGCGAGACGCCCUGACCUGGAAAUGGCUAUCUUGACCUGGAACUGGCUAGGCGGAAGUGUUCGCCUGGCAUAUGCAAACACGCCCGACCAUGGGGGGGUGUUGUGAACCCUUCACCAGGCCCCAUCAU